rnacentral:rRNA from 1 species
UACGGAGGGAGCUAGCGUUGUUCGGAAUUACUGGGCGUAAAGGGCGCGUAGGCGGCUGUUACAGUCAGAUGUGAAAUUCCUGGGCUCAACCUGGGGGCUGCAUCUGAUACGUGAUGGCUGGAGUGGGGAAGAGGGUCGUGGAAUUCCCAGUGUAGAGGUGAAAUUCGUAGAUAUUGGGAAGAACACCGGUGGCGAAGGCGGCGACCUGGUCCUUGACUGACGCUGAGGCGCGAAAGCGUGGGGAGCAAACAGG